CGCCCCCUAUCGUGUUCGUGAUCGGAUGAUGUUCUUUUGCUCAAUGUUAGUAAAAAGGGAGCCUUCACUUGUUUUGGUGUGCAUGUUCUGCAUAGACAGAAAAGCCUAAAGAAACUACAGGGCGCCCACCUUAAAUUUUGGUUUAAGGACCAACCAACACGGCACAAAGAUGGGGGGCAU
rnacentral:other from 1 species